UCUUCUAUACUUUCUAAGGAUGUGUGGUUCUUCCCUGGUGAAUUUGAAUUUUUAUCAGGAAAUGAAAAUUCAAAAAAUUGGAAGAAGAGCAUAUACAUUGAUAUGAAAAAGCUUAAGAAAUAUUUAAAAAUGUCUGAUGCCGAACUAAGCAAAUUUAGGAAGAUAACUCUCAAUGACCUGUUUAAGCAAAGGGCUGUAAAACCUCCAUGUCAGAAAAUGCGUCCUGAAAUCAUCAGGUAAGAAUUUAAUCAUUUCACAUCCUUUUAAAAUCUGUAAAAGCUGUAGAAUGUUUAUAGAAUUUCUACAUUUUUUGAUUACUGGAGUCAGCAUUUCCCAGUCCAGAUUCUAUCACACUGAA